UACAGAGGGUGCAAGCGUUAAUCGGAAUUACUGGGCGUAAAGGGUGCGUAGGUGGUUUAAUAAGUUGGGUGUGAAAGUCCCGGGCUUAACUUGGGGAUUGCGCUUAAUACUGUUGAACUAGAGUACUGUAGAGGAAGGUGGAAUUUCCAGUGUAGCGGUGAAAAUGCGUAGAUAUUGGAAGGAACAUCAGUGGCGAAGGCGACUUUCUGGACAGAUACUGACACUGAGGCACGAAAAGCGUGGGGGAGCAAAACAGG
rnacentral:rRNA from 1 species